GACAGAGGGUGCAAACGUUGCUCGGAAUUACUGGGCGUAAAGCGCGUGUAGGCGGACCACCAAGUCGGACGUGAAAGCCCUGAGCUCAACUCAGGAACUGCAUCCGAAACUGGCGGUCUGGAGUAGUGGAGAGGAAAGCAGAAUUCCUGGUGUAGAGGUGAAAUUCGUAGAUAUCAGGAGGAACACCGGUGGCGAAGGCGGGUCUCUGGGCCGAUACUGACGCUGAGGAGCGAAAGCGUGGGGAGCGAACAGG
rnacentral:rRNA from 1 species